GCGCUUGCGCACGGUCUCCCCUGGUCAGGGAGGGAAUGGCGCGUGCGGGCGUGUCUCCAGGGACUAGGGAAGGGAAGCCCUGGGCGGCUCCGGUCCAGUGGAAAUUGUUGCAGAAUUGUAUGCUCUUGGGCCACAGCCAGGAUCCCACAACAUUAACUAUGGGCAUUAUCUACAACCUAUUAUAACUUGGAGGUCCUGAGAGAACUUAUUUCUGGGCUUAUUCCUGUCCUGUGAACAGGUCUGGUGUAACCCUUCCGAAGAUGCUGGACCAAGACCUGCUGCAGAGUAAGGUACCAUUAAGCAGUGUUGGCCCAGAUAGGGUUUGGACCCAGCAACUGGAACCAGAUAAUCAGGGAUGUGGUUUCAAAUUGUUCCAAGGAGCUAUAAGGAAAAGGACUUACCUUAGAUCAUGUCUACAGUAUUCAGGUCAAACUACUACCUGAAUGCAUUGCCCAUUUGCAGGGUUUCCCAGAAAAUAUUCAGUGACAUUAUAAUAAAACCCUAAAAUGCCUCAGGUAUUUGGGAAGAAAAUUAUUGCCCUAAUAUUCAUCCAUAGCAAACCAUUCAUACAUGGCUGUUAAGAAUCACUAAACCUCAGGCUAGAGCAUGAUCUCCUAGGAAUAUCCCCCAGACAGGAAAGUUCUGAUACAACAGUACCCCUUAUGUGCCCACCAACAAAACCUUUUGUUGCUGCUAUGAAUUUUGCCUUGGCCUGCACCUUGCUGCCCAGGUCUCGUGAGCUAAUAUAGUCUCACAGAUCCACCCAUCCUCAUGCCAUGUGCUCUUGUCCUUAGCUUUUCUCAGACACCCCUCAGUUUGUCCUUGACCAUUGCUCUUGCUCCUCUGUUUGCCUGGUGCUUUGUUUUCUGGUUCUGGACCAUACCUCCCUGUGGUAGCUGCUUUUGGCCACUUUGAAUUGCCCUUUUGGUCAUGGUUUUCUGCUCACCUUGUAACUCCUCUCUCCUGUGAUUUUUUGGUCCUCCUUCCAGCUGCCCACUUCACCCCAUAAUCUUGAAUAAGGAAACUGUGCACCAGCCCCGGCCCCACAUUGCCUUCCUAUCCUCAAGAAGCAAGGUGGGCCGAUGUGGGGGAAUGUGUUGUUUUUGUUUUUUAUAAAGGGCAUGCAGGGAAGAAAGAAAAGCUCCCUCCUGCCUUUAGCCAUCAGGGGUUCCACUCCCCAAAGGCAACCAGUGUUACCAGUUUCUUAAGGAGGCAGUUUGGUUACCUCUGGUACUCAGGAGUCAUGAAAGCUUUCAAAGAUGUCAAAAAAUGUCUCCCAGCAACUACAUUUUCCUAGCAGAGAGGCUCUACCUAACUGAAGGAGAUGAAGCCUGACUCUUGGUGGAACAUCAGGAGGAGAGCCAGCCCUCUGCAAACCUUGAUCAUAAUUUUUGAGCUCAACACACAGUUAAUGAAUUUCUUUGGCUUCCAGGUUGACCUCCCUUCCCCUCCCCAUUCUGGUUGAAAAUCCACAGGGAAUGUUAACAUGGUGCAGCUGCAAGUCCAAGAGGAAUAAACACCUUCCAGGGCUGAUCAUCCCAUUGAUUUUGUCCAAUUCUUCCUCCAGCCAUCACCCUACCCUGCCUUACUCCACCUGUGCCACUGGUGAUGAGCAAAAACAGAAAGAAUAAAGUAUUCACCGAACCUUUGAUUUUGAAAAA